rnacentral:rRNA from 1 species
UACGUAGGGUGCAAGCGUUAAUCGGAAUUACUGGGCGUAAAGCGUGCGCAGGCGGUUUUGUAAGUCUGUCGUGAAAGCCCCGGGCUCAACCUGGGAAUUGCGAUGGAGACUGCAAGGCUUGAAUCUGGCAGAGGGGGGUAGAAUUCCACGUGUAGCAGUGAAAUGCGUAGAGAUGUGGAGGAACGCCGAUGGCGAAGGCAGCCCCCUGGGUCAAGAUUGACGCUCAUGCACGAAAGCGUGGGGAGCAAAAGGG